AUUUAAUAAAAUUGGCAUUUAUUUCAAAGUUUAACAGCACCACCCAGUGGAUAUAAAGUAAUUUUUCAGUCCAUAUAUCUCAAUGCAAGCACUGCACUAGCUUUGUUAAUUUACAUACCAGUAUAUCCUGCAUAUUAAACAAGCUUACAAUGUAAAUUUCACUAAAUAUUUAUAGGCAAGGUGCAUUCCUUUAAAAGUGAAAUGGAUUGCGUGUUAACAAUAUGAGUCAAUAAACAUAUGAUUUCAAAAGAAGCAAAGUAUAAUAUAUAUAAGUUAUAAUUUAUUUUAACAUGGCUCCUCAAAAACAUGCAACAUGAACUUACAUUAAGCUUUGUCAAAGAGUUAAGCAAUGUUAUAUUUUAGAAAACCUACCAUAUUUCUGAAAAUGUCUUCAGAAUAUGUGAAUAAAUGUUUAGAUAAAAG